rnacentral:lncRNA from 1 species
AUAAAUCUAACAAUACAAUUGGCUAGGGUCAAUCUAUUGGUCUACAAAGUACAAACAUUGCCACCUGCCUAAUGCCUACCAAAUGUAUAUCAUUGUGGGGUAUAGGCAUGAGUAAUUGGAUCAAAUCAAUAUCUUUGCUUGUGGGGUUGAGGUUAGGGAGUACAACAAAAGAGGUAAUUAAGGAAGAAUCAAUGUUGGGAAGAAGCUGAAUUAAGUCAAUGGCAAGUUCUACUUUGAUGAGUUCGUGCUCUUUUGUCCUCUUGUUCGAAGUGGAGGUGAUGAAUCCCACACGAACGGCCAAGACCAAUUGACAUUGAUGAUUCAAAUCGAUGCUUUGAAAUUGUUAUAGAUAGGCAUUAUCUUUGUCCAAGGAAGGAAUAUCCGUUGGGUGUUUCUAAAUGUAAGUUCACUUUCGCCUACUUCAUCAUGUGGCCCCUUCCCUUUGGUUUUUACUUUUACGUGCAAUUUAAGCCACACAGUGUUGCUAAAGCGUUCAAGUCCUAAUGAUUAAUUACCCAUUAAACCGGUUUUACCAUAUGAGGUGGAAAUUCAU